UCAUCAGAGGCACCAGCCGGUCUGCAGGCAGGGCCCACGCCGCACUAUGCCCGCGCCACAGUGGUUGCCCACUGUCGCCGGGAGGCCACCCGCCGGUGGUUCUGGGCCCGGGCCGUGUCGUCCAGCACCACGAGGCAGCCUCAAGUCGGCCCCUCUGGGAAGAGCCGCUGGUCAUUAGCCGCCCCCGGGUUUUCAGCCGCCGACGACACCAGGCGCGCGGCUCGCAUCUCGGCUCCUUGGUUUGCCGCUCAGGUCCAGGAGCAAGUGGCGCCUCCCCACCAGGGCGCUCGCUUCGUGGCAGGCUCCCGGGUAGUGAACCAGGCCGAGCGGCGCCUCCAGAGGCCGCACCUGAAGCCCGGCCGACGUUCUGAAGCCUCUGCGGACCGUCUGAGGAGACGCCCGCCCCGCCACCGUCGGGGGAGCUCCGGGAGCGCCAUCUUCAUUCCCGUCUCGGGCUAGGACUCCUUGAACUCUUGAGUCUUCUGCGCCCCCAGCAACCGUGAGCGCCCGAGUGGCACCACACAGCCCCAAGGGCAAGACCUCUGCGGGCCCUGGGGUGCCAGAGCUCCGGCCUGCCCGGAAGAGCAGUGACGGGGGCGCCGCCAUCUUGGUGGCAGCACAGAAGGAACGCCGGGACCGAGUCGUCGCCCCCCAGACCGCUCAGAGCCGGCCUCCUACGCGACCUGGGACACAGCAGUGCCCAUCUUGAAAUGCUGUAAUGAAGACAGAAUGAGUUAAUGUAUGUGAAGAACCGAAAACAGUUCCUGGCAUGCAAUAAAUACUUAGGGAAGGGGCAUGCAAUAACUUGUUGGAGAAUCCAGGUAAUCAGCAUGUCAGCGCCCCAACUCUAGAAUGCUAGAAUAACUUUGAGUCAACAUGGGAAAUUUGGAGAAAAUGUUUACAGCAAUGCCACAAACACACAUACAACUCAAUAUGCAAAUGAAGCCAGUCUUAGGUUUUACCCAAGCAACUCCCGUGAACCAACAUUUGUAGCUAGCAGACCUGCUUUGCCUGAAAUGUGAAAAGAAGUUCUUUAGAGAGAAGAAAAGUAAUAUAGAUUAGAAACUUGGAGCUACAUAAAGAGAGGAAGAACAUCAAAGAAGAAAUAAGUGAAGGUGAGAAGAUUUGCCACUAGUGGAUAGACAUUAUAAGUGCUUCCAUUCCGCAAUGGGACCACUGCGUGAGAAAAGCAUCAGUUGCCCCUCGAGAGGGGGCUCCAAGUGCCGGAUGCAGCCACCAUAUUCCUCAGCUCUCCCCCAACCCUUCCCCAAAGCAGCAGCCAGCAGCCAUUUGUCACCAAGCUUCUGUUGUCGCCUUUCUGCCUUUCUUAUACCGGACUCAGUUUAUUCACUUAUAUUACCUACUGCCCUCUGUCGGCAUUUGAGUUUUCUAGCACCUUCCAUGCCAUGAAGUAUUUCUUCUCUUUCCUUCCAAUUCCUGGCCCAAUAAUCUUUUUUUUUUUUUUUGGUUCAUUUUGUUU